UGUAUUCUACCUUCUUGUACGCCUAAGAAAUAGAUUGCUCUGAUAACUCUUGAGAUUAUUAUUCUUAAGUUUCAGAAUUGUUUUGUGAUAUGGGAGAUGUUGUAAUAUAGGGAGUAGGGUGGCUCUAGGAGAAUAAGGAUGGAUGAUUUAGAAGUGUAAAUGUUUUUCUACAGGUUUUGGGUUGUCCAUUUUUAGGGGAAGUUCUGUCAAAUUUUUGGUAGAAUUUCUUCUAAGGUGGGCCCCGCAGGGCCUCUUCGGAUUUCAGGGUGAAAUCCGGGGCGGGUCCUGUCAUUCUCAACCUCUCUUCGAGCUUAUGGCUCUCGUCAUUGUUGGUGGAGUUCUUCAAUUUGAAGAAGGAACGAGGCCAAAGAAUUCAUUCACUAUUGUUCAUUGAUUGUCCACCUUAGUGUCUUUUGGAUGGCUAUGUAUGUUUCUUGGAGAAGACCUACUAUUGCUUUAUUUUUUAAGGUAAUACCUUCCCAUUUUUUACAUAUGUAGAGAAUAUAAGGGUUUUUAAGUUUUAGAGCUUGCAUGUAAUGUUUGGCGUUUUACUUUUGGGGUUGCUGGUUUGUCCUAAUAUCCAUCUACUAUGUUUGCCUAAAUUGGUUCCGUAAUGGAGAGUGGUUCUGAACAAGAAGAGGAUUUCACAAGACGUGAUUGUACGGUCUGGUUUGAAAUGGGUUGGCCAGAUUUCUUUAAUUUUAUAAUUCAAGGUCUGUGCUUUAUCCUUCUGUACCUUGCUUUUUGUGUUUGUACUGUGCAAGAUAUGGUUCAGAACAGUUUAUGCAUGUGUAGUGGGACAGUAUUCCGGUGCUGAAAACAGAAAGGUUUACCAAGUUGUUGAUCCAAGAAGUCAUGGAAAUGUGCUAACUUCCCAAAGAAAGAACAAUUAGCUAGAAUUCUGCAUAAACAGCUCUGUAGCACAGCUCUGCAACACAGCUCUCUUUGAUUGCUUUGACCCUUUCGUGUCGAUUUUACUGGGAGAGGAGAACUUGCAGAUCUUCAUGUCAGUCCAUAUAUAUGUAUGGCAGUUGUGUAGUACUAAGGAACUUUUCUUGUCCCUAUACAUAGAACUGGUCACUAUAUGAUCAUACUUAAACCUAUUUUUUUUGUGCCUUCAUCGAUCAUACGUCUAGUAUUAGGGAACUGAUGGGAUUGAUCACUAUAUGUAUUGAUAUAUUUUGGUGGAGACAAUGACUAA